rnacentral:rRNA from 1 species
AGGACGACGCUGGCGGCGUGCCUAACACAUGCAAGUCGAGCGGGGUUGAAGCGAGGGGUAACUCGGACUUCUACCUAGCGGCGGACGGGUGAGUAACGCGUGGGCAACCUGCCUCAAGGUUUGGGAUAACAGCUCGAAAGGGCUGCUAAUACCGGAUAUGCCUGUGGCCUCGCAUGGGGCUAUGAGCAAAGGGGAAACCCGCCUUGAGAUGGGCCCGCGUCCCAUCAGCUAGUUGGUGAGGUGAAGGCUCACCAAGGCGACGACGGGUAGCCGGCCUGAGAGGGUGACCGGCCACACUGGGACUGAGACACGGCCCAGACUCCUACGGGGGGCAGCAGUGGGGGAUCUUGCACAAUGGGCGAAAGCCUGAUGCAGCGACGCCGCGUGAGCGAAGAAGGCCUUCGGGUUGUAAAGCUCUGUCUGGAGGGACGAAGAAAAUGACGGUACCUCCGGAGGAAGCCACGGCUAACUACGUG